UACGAAGGGGGCUAGCGUUGCUCGGAAUCACUGGGCGUAAAGGGUGCGUAGGCGGGUCUUAAGUCAGGGGUGAAAGUCCUGAAGCUCAACUCCAGAACUGCCUUUGAUACUGAAGAUCUUGAGUUCGGGAGAGGUGAGUGGAACUGCGAGUGUAGAGGUGAAAUUCGUAGAUAUUCGCAAGAACACCAGUGCGAAGGCGGCUCACUGGCCCGAUACUGACGCUGAGGCACGAAAGCGUGGGGAGCAACAGGG
rnacentral:rRNA from 1 species